rnacentral:rRNA from 1 species
GUUGUAUGGUUAAGUGACUAAGCGUACACGGUGGAUGCCUUGGCAGUCAGAGGCGAUGAAAGACGUAGUAACUUGCGAUAAGCCCAGAUUAGGUAGUAACAACCAUUUGAGUCUGGGAUUUCUGAAUGGGGAAACCCACGUGCAUAAGCACGUAUCCUUACCUGAAUACAUAGGGUAAGGAGGCGAACCGGGGGAACUGAAACAUCUAAGUACCCCGAGGAAAAGAAAUCAACCGAGAUUCCGAAAGUAGCGGCGAGCGAAAUUGGACUAGCCCUUAAGCUUUACACGCGUUAGACGAACGGUCUGGAAAGUCCGACGAUACAGGGUGAUAGUCCCGUAGUUGACGACGUGUGUUCAGUGAAAUCGAGUAGGGCGGGACACGUGAUAUCCUGUCUGAAUAUGGGGGGACCAUCCUCCAAGGCUAAAUACUACUGACUGACCGAUAGUGAACCAGUACCGUGAGGGAAAGGCGAAAAGAACCCCUGUGAGGGGAGUGAAAUAGAACCUGAAACCGUGUACGUACAAGCAGUAGGAGCAGGCUUUGUCCUGUGACUGCGUACCUUUUGUAUAAUGGGUCAGCGACUUAUAUUCAGUGGCAAGGUUAACCAUCUAGGGGAGCCGUAGGGAAACCGAGUCUUAACUGGGCGUUCAGUCUCUGGAUAUAGACCCGAAACCAGGUGAUCUAGCCAUGGGCAGGUUGAAGGUUGAGUAACAUCAACUGGAGGACCGAACCGACUAAUGUUGAAAAAUUAGCGGAUGACUUGUGGCUAGGGGUGAAAGGCCAAUCAAACCUGGAGAUAGCUGGUUCUCCCCGAAAGCUAUUUAGGUAGCGCCUCGGACGAAUACUACUGGGGGUAGAGCACUGUUAAGGCUAGGGGGUCAUCCCGACUUACCAACCCUUUGCAAACUCCGAAUACCAGUAAGUACUAUCCGGGAGACACACGGCGGGUGCUAACGUCCGUCGUGGAGAGGGAAACAACCCAGACCGCCAGCUAAGGUCCCAAAUUACUACUAAGUGGGAAACGAUGUGGGAAGGCUCAGACAGCCAGGAUGUUGGCUUAGAAGCAGCCAUCAUUUAAAGAAAGCGUAAUAGCUCACUGGUCGAGUCGGCCUGCGCGGAAGAUGUAACGGGGCUAAGUAGUAAACCGAAGCUGCGGCAAUGUGCUUUUGCACAUUGGGUAGGGGAGCGUUCUGUAAGCGGUUGAAGGUGUGUGGUAACGCAUGCUGGACGUAUCAGAAGUGCGAAUGCUGACAUGAGUAACGAUAAAGGGGGUGAAAAACCUCCUCGCCGGAAGACCAAGGGUUCCUGUCCAACGUUAAUCGGGGCAGGGUAAGUCGACCCCUAAGGCGAGGCCGAAAGGCGUAGUCGAUGGGAAACGGGUUAAUAUUCCCGUACUUCUUACAAUUGCGAUGGGGGGACGGAGAAGGCUAGGUGGGCCUGGCGACGGUUGUCCAGGUUCAAGUGCGUAGGCUUGAGAGUUAGGUAAAUCCGGCUCUUUUUAAGGCUGAGACACGACGUCGAGCAUCUACGGAUGUGAAGUCAUUGAUGCCAUGCUUCCAGGAAAAGCCUCUAAGCUUCAGAUUGUAAGGAAUCGUACCCCAAACCGACACAGGUGGUCGGGUAGAGAAUACCAAGGCGCUUGAGAGAACUCGGGUGAAGGAACUAGGCAAAAUGGUACCGUAACUUCGGGAGAAGGUACGCUCUCGACGGUGAAGUCCCUCGCGGAUGGAGCUAUUGAGAGUCGCAGAUACCAGGUGGCUGCAACUGUUUAUUAAAAACACAGCACUGUGCAAAAUCGUAAGAUGACGUAUACGGUGUGACGCCUGCCCGGUGCCGGAAGGUUAAUUGAUGGGGUUAGACUUCGGUCGAAGCUCUUGAUCGAAGCCCCGGUAAACGGCGGCCGUAACUAUAACGGUCCUAAGGUAGCGAAAUUCCUUGUCGGGUAAGUUCCGACCUGCACGAAUGGCGUAAUGAUGGCCACGCUGUCUCCACCCGAGACUCAGUGAAAUUGAAAUCGCUGUGAAGAUGCAGUGUACCCGCGGCUAGACGGAAAGACCCCGUGAACCUUUACUACAGCUUGGCACUGAACAUUGACCCUACAUGUGUAGGAUAGGUGGGAGGCUUUGAAGCACGUACGCCAGUAUGUGUGGAGCCGUCCUUGAAAUACCACCCUUGUAGUGUUGAUGUUCUAACGUCGACCCCUUAUCGGGGUUGCGGACAGUGCCUGGUGGGUAGUUUGACUGGGGCGGUCUCCUCCCAAAGAGUAACGGAGGAGCACGAAGGUGGGCUAAUCACGGUUGGACAUCGUGAGGUUAGUGCAAUGGCAUAAGCCCGCUUGACUGCGAGAAUGACAAUUCGAGCAGGUGCGAAAGCAGGUCAUAGUGAUCCGGUGGUUCUGAAUGGAAGGGCCAUCGCUCAACGGAUAAAAGGUACUCCGGGGAUAACAGGCUGAUACCGCCCAAGAGUUCAUAUCGACGGCGGUGUUUGGCACCUCGAUGUCGGCUCAUCACAUCCUGGGGCUGAAGUCGGUCCCAAGGGUAUGGCUGUUCGCCAUUUAAAGUGGUACGCGAGCUGGGUUUAGAACGUCGUGAGACAGUUCGGUCCCUAUCUGCCGUGGGCGUUGGAAGAUUGAAGGGGGCUGCUCCUAGUACGAGAGGACCGGAGUGGACGAACCUCUGGUGUUCGGGUUGUGUCGCCAGACGCAUUGCCCGGUAGCUAAGUUCGGAAUCGAUAACCGCUGAAAGCAUCUAAGCGGGAAGCGAGCCCUGAGAUGAGUCUUCCCUGAUACUUUAAGUAUCCUAAAGGGUUGUCGGAGACUACGACGUUGAUAGGUCAGGUGUGUAAGUGCUGUGAGGCAUUGAGCUAACUGAUACUAAUUGCCCGUGAGGCUUAACCAUACAACACCCAAGGGGUUU